UGGCCGCUCGCGAAAUGGCAUCGCGUCUGAGUACAAUGAGUAUCUUUCCAAGUGCAACGUAUCAGGAGAUUGCGGGUUCAACCCCUGCGGUGGUCAG